rnacentral:rRNA from 1 species
UACGGAGGAUGCGAGCGUUAUCCGGAUUUAUUGGGUUUAAAGGGUGCGUAGGCGGACGGUCAAGUCAGCGGUAAAAAUGCGGUGCUCAACCCCGUACUGCCGUUGAAACUGCAUCCCUUGAGUGCGCGAGAAGUAUGCGGAAUGCGUGGUGUAGCGGUGAAAUGCAUAGAUAUCACGCAGAACUCCGAUUGCGAAGGCAGCAUACCGGCGCCCGACUGACGCUGAAGCACGAAAGCGUGGGUAUCGAACAGG